CUUGAAAAGGUAGGUGAGAAUAGAGAGACAAGUUUUGUCUCGUGAAAGUUUCAAUAAAAGGUGGGUGAAUGUAGCAAAGAUGGUACGUGCGAGUGUCGAAACCACUUUGAGCAUGAUCCUAUAUUAAUCAAGAAAGAAAGAAAAAGGAGAGAGAGAAAAG